AUUGAACGCUGGCGGCAUGCCUUACACAUGCAAGUCGAACGGUAACAGCACUUCGGUGGCUGACGAGUGGCGAACGGGUGAGUAAUACAUCGGAACGUGCCCGAGAGUGGGGGAUAACGCAGCGAAAGCUGUGCUAAUACCGCAUACGGUCUACGGAUGAAAGCAGGGGACCGCAAGGCCUUGCGCUCAUGGAGCGGCCGAUGGCAGAUUAGGUAGUUGGUGGGAUAAAAGCUUACCAAGCCGACGAUCUGUAGCUGGUCUGAGAGGACGACCAGCCACACUGGGACUGAGACACGGCCCAGACUCCUACGGGAGGCAGCAGUGGGGAAUUUUGGACAAUGGGCGAAAGCCUGAUCCAGCCAUGCCGCGUGCAGGAUGAAGGCCUUCGGGUUGUAAACUGCUUUUGUACGGAACGAAAAGGUCUUUUCUAAUAAAGAAGGCUCAUGACGGUACCGUAAGAAUAAGCACCGGCUAACUACGUGCCAGCAGCCGCGGUAAUACGUAGGGUGCAAGCGUUAAUCGGAAUUACUGGGCGUAAAGCGUGCGCAGGCGGUUAUAUGAGACAGAUGUGAAAUCCCCGGGCUCAACCUGGGAACUGCAUUAGUGACUGUAUAGCUAGAGUGCGGCAGAGGGGGAUGGAAUUCCGCGUGUAGCAGUGAAAUGCGUAGAUAUGCGGAGGAACACCGAUGGCGAAGGCAAUCCCCUGGGCCUGCACUGACGCUCAUGCACGAAAGCGUGGGGAGCAAACAGGAUUAGAUACCCUGGUAGUCCACGCCCUAAACGAUGUCAACUGGUUGUUGGGAAUUUACUUUCUCAGUAACGAAGCUAACGCGUGAAGUUGACCGCCUGGGGAGUACGGCCGCAAGGUUAAAACUCAAAGGAAUUGACGGGGACCCGCACAAGCGGUGGAUGAUGUGGUUUAAUUCGAUGCAACGCGAAAAACCUUACCCACCUUUGACAUGUAUGGAAGAUCGCAGAGACGCGAUUGUGCUCGAAAGAGAGCCAUAACACAGGUGCUGCAUGGCUGUCGUCAGCUCGUGUCGUGAGAUG
rnacentral:rRNA from 1 species